CACGUAGGGCGCAAGCGUUGUCCGGAAUUAUUGGGCGUAAAGAGCUCGUAGGCGGUCUGUUGCGUCCGCUGUGAAAACUCGGGGCUUAACCCCGAGCCUGCAGUGGAUACGGGCAGACUAGAGGUAGGUAGGGGAGAAUGGAAUUCCCGGUGUAGCGGUGAAAUGCGUAGAUAUCUGGAGGAACACCGGUGGCGAAGGCGGCAUCCUGGACCAAUUCUGACACUGAGGAGCGAAAGCCAGGGGAGCAAACGGG
rnacentral:rRNA from 1 species